CUGGUUGAUCCUGCCAGUAGUCAUAUGCUUGUCUCAAAGACUAAGCCAUGCAUGUCUAAGUAUAAAUGUUAUACAGUGAAACUGCGAAUGGCUCAUUAAAACAGUUAUAGUUUAUUUGAUAAUCAAACUUACAUGGAUAACCGUGGUAAUUCUAGAGCUAAUACAUGCUGUUAAGCCUGACUUUUAGGAAGGGCUGUAUUUAUUAGAUAACAAACCAAUAUUCCUUGUGUCUAUUGUGACGACUCAUAAUAACUGAUCGAAUCGCAUGGACUUUGUCCGCGAUACACCAUUCAAGUUUCUGCCCUAUCAGCUGCGAUGGUACGGUAUUGGCCUACCAUGGCUUUGACGGGUGACGGAGAAUUAGGGUUCGAUUCCGGAGAGGGAGCCUGAGAAACGGCUACCACAUCCAAGGAAGGUAGCAGGCGCGUAAAUUACCCAAUCCCAACUCGGGGAGGUAGUGACAAGAAAUACUUUUUCGGAGCCUUCGGGUUCUGAAGUGGAAUGAGCACAAUUUAAAUCCCUUAGCGAGGAUCCAUUGGAGGAAAAGUCUGGUGCCA
rnacentral:rRNA from 1 species